rnacentral:rRNA from 1 species
CACGUAGGGUGCAAGCGUUGUCCGGAAUUAUUGGGCGUAAAGGGCUCGUAGGCGGUCCGUCACGUCGGGAGUGAAACUCGGGGCUCAACCCCGAGCCUGCUUCCGAUACGGGCGGACUAGAGGUAGGUAGGGGAGAACGGAAUUCCUGGUGUAGCGGUGGAAUGCGCAGAUAUCAGGAGGAACACCGGUGGCGAAGGCGGUUCUCUGGGCCUUACCUGACGCUGAGGAGCGAAAGCGUGGGGAGCAAACAGG